CCGAAGAGGAGUGGAUGCCCAGCCAAGUUGCUUCCUCUGUUUCACGCCUGGCCUUUUAUAGGCUCCAAUCUCUCUUUCCUCUUCCUUAUUUCGAAUCAUGGAUAAGGAUGAACCCUUUGCCGUUGGGAUGAAGUUUGGCCUGAUUCGCUAGACUGCUGUGGUUCGGAUCUUAGAUCCGGCUGCUGGGAUGCUGAUCAAAGGAGAAGAUGCGUGAAGCCGGACGCGUGGGAAGAUGAAGUCAAUC
rnacentral:lncRNA from 1 species